rnacentral:rRNA from 1 species
UGGGGGUUAAAUUAAUAAAAAAAAAUAAUAAUAAAAAAAAUUUUAAUAUAAAAAUAUUUAAUGGGGGUUAAAGUAUUUAUAUAGAAAAAAUUUUUUUAUUUAUAGUUAAUUAGUAUUGUAAAAGAAUUUUGAAAAAUUGAAAAUAAAUUUUUAAAAAAGUAAAUUUAAGUUAUUGUAUCUUGUGUAUCAGAGUUUAUUAAAAAUUUUUUAAAAUUUUAAAUUUCUCGAAUUUAAAAGAGUUAAUUAAUUAAUAAAGUUAUUGUGGCAUAAAUAUUUUAAAUAAUUAAUUAGAAAUGAAAUGUUAAUCGUUUUUAAAUAUAUCUAGUUUUUUUAGAAAAAAAUUUAAUUUUUAAUUUAAUUAAAGAUUUUAAUAAAUGUUUAUUAAAAUCUUUAAUUAAAUUAAAUAAUUUAAGGGAUAAGCUUUAAAUUAAAUUUUUAUAAUUAAUAUUUUUAAUUUAAAAAUUUUAUAAUUUAUAUUGUUAAUAAAUUUUAUUUUAUUAUAAAUAAUUUUAAAUAAAUAAAAAUUUAAUUUUAAUUUAAAUUUAUAUAAAAAAAUUUAUAUUAAUAAAAAAUAUGAAGAAAUUAUGAUAAAAUUAGUAAAUAAAAUAAAUUAAAAUAAAUAAAUAAUUUUUAAAGGUAAAUUUAAGGAAUUCGGCAAAAAUUUAUAUUCACUUGUUUAUCAAAAACAUGUCUUUUUGAAAAUAAUUUAAAGUCUAAUCUGCCCACUGAUAUAAAUUGAAGGGCUGCAGUAUUUUGACUGUACAAAGGUAGCAUAAUCAUUAGUCUCUUAAUUGGUGACUUGUAUGAAGGAUUGGAUGAGAUAUAAACUGUCUUAAUUUUAUUUAAUUGAAUUUAAUUUUUUAAUUAAAAAGUUAAAAUAUAUUAAAAAGACGAGAAGACCCUAUAGAGUUUUAUAUUAAUUUAAAUUAUAAUUAUUUAUAAAUUUAUUUAUUAGUAAUUUUUUUUAAUAUUUUAUUGGGGUGAUAAAAAAAUAAAUAAAACUUUUUUUAAUAUUAAACAAAAAUAAAUGAAUUAAUGAUCCAAUUUUAUUGAUUAAAAGAAAAAAUUACCUUAGGGAUAACAGCGUAAUUUUUUCUUUUAGGCCUUAUAAGAUAAAAAGUUUGCGACCUCGAUGUUGGAUUAAGAUAAAAUUUAAAUGUAAAAGUUUAAAAUUUUUGAUCUGUUCGAUCAUUAAAAUCUUACAUGAUCUGAGUUCAAACCGGUGUAAGCCAGGUUGGUUUCUAUCUUUUAAAAAUUUUAAUAUUUUAGUACGAAAGGACCAAAUAUUAUAAUUAAAUUAAUUAUUUAAUGAAUUUUAUUAAUUUUAAUUAAAAUUUAAAAUUUAUAUUUAAUAGUAGUAAAUAUGACUCU